GUUUUCAAGGUAAACUAUCAUAUCAUCAGCAAACAGGGACAGUUUGACUUCCUCUUUACUAAUUUGGAUGUCCUUUAUUUUUUUCUCAUCUCUGAUUGCUCUGGCUAGGACACCCAGUACUAUGUUGAAGAGGAAUGGUGAGAGUAGGCAUCCUGGUCUUGUUCCCGUUCUCAGAGGGAAUGCUUUCAACUUUUCCCCAUUCGGUAUUAUAUUGGCUGUGGGUUUGUCACAGAUGGCUUUUAUUACAUUAAGGUUUGUGCAUACUUAUAUAUACAUGAUGUCUCUUGGAGCAGAAGAAGAAGCAGAAAUGCUGCACUAAGAGAGAUUUGAGGCCUAGAUUUCAUUUUCCAUAUGCCAGCUUUGUUAUAUUUCUCCGAGCUUCAGAUCCUCUGUUUUCUAAACUGUGAUCAGCGUAAGUGUGGCUAACAGUGAUUGGAAUGGAUUUAAAGUGUCAAUUCCAAAGUAGAGAUUAUGAGUCAACUUUUUUUGCAGGGGGCUAUCCUCUGUCAGAGUUACAUCAAUUUAUAAUUUUCCUGUAGUGUCAAUACCACUAAGCCAUCUCUACUAAUAGAGAUAAGAGAAAGAACCUGCAUUAUUUAUCAGUAUGCAUCUCACAUUGAAAACCUAACCUUACCAAUGUUGCCUGGGAAUGCUAAUGUCUUCUGUGCCAUGGGAGAGCACAACAGGGCACUGUGUAAGCACUGUGUAAGAAGAUGUGGUGAAGAGUGACCACCUAUGAACACAUUCCCAGUGGACAGACCUUUUCAAGUUCUCCUCUUGACGUUGGCUUGCUUUGGGGAUGACUGUCUGGUGGUCCUGCCCUUGCUAUGGUGAAAACAGAGCACAAGGAAAGCCACUGAAGGCAAACAGGGAAUGCAACCUUAGAUCAAUCCUUCCCAAACUGUCACUGAGACACAGAAGCCACAGAGACACACUCAUACGUUAUGACACUUGAAGAAUUAUGUAGGUUAUUGCUGACACCAUGUAAGCACCCUCUAAAAUAACCCAGAAAAAAUGCUCUGAGAAGACCUGAAUUACAAGUCUGUGGAAUACCUCCAUCUUCUGCUUAACUGAUGUGAACCACAGGGAAGGGAUAAUUGUGGAAAUGAAACAGGAAACAAGCAAAACCAUUUAUAACACAUGAAAAUGAGUAAGCAAGCAAGUUGGCAUGCAUGAGAUAUAGAAAAAAGAGCGAAUUUGUAUCUAGUGCUUCCAGUGAAUUCUUCAAGAACACUUCAUCCUUGGAGAAGAAUUUCCUCUAAUUCUGCAUGGGUUACGUGCCAAGUAAUUGUCCGGUCACAAGCUAACAGUGUCAAGAGGCUAUUUUAAAGAUGAAUGGGAACAUAAAACAUAUUUUGUCCUAUUCACCACUUUGAAUAUGUCUCAGGAACAAAACUUGCACUUGAAAGGAAAUGGAGAAAUGCGAUUUUUAUGAGUUACUGGCUUUUUCCCCCCUUCACACCACUGACAGAACAAAAACAUUUAGAGGAAGACAGCCCAAUGUCAUGUAAGUAUUUGUAUAUUUGUUCUCACCGUGGUACACAAGGGACAUAUCGAACCCUUUCCCUGAAUAAAAACAGGACAUUAUUUAAGCUCUGCCAUCACACUCCAAUGCUUUUCAAUAGCUAGAAGAAUUUUGCAUUCCUUCCCAUAGGAACUGUAAGCUCAAAAAGAAAAAUUCUUCUGCAACACACUCUAUCAAUAACUUGUAUUCAUUUUGCUUUCUGAAAUAGUUACUUUUUAAAAUGUAUAUGCUAAGAAAAAGUGAAAGAAGAAAAAAGAGGCCCUCCAUCUAUGAAUUGUGCUCUUUUUUUAUUCAUAUGAUUUCCAAGACCAAGCAAAUUAUCAUAAUCUUCCUAACAGAGAUACACAAUUCCACCUAAGAAUUACCAUUUACUUGAACCAGUGAAAAGCAGUUUCUAUUAGAUGCUGAGACAAGUCAUCUGUAUGUGUUCAUAUGUGCUCCCUAGAAAUUAUUUUUGAAUUUCAAGGUUAUAAAUAAUUCCCAAACUCAAGUUCAUGCUGAUAUUCUAAUAUGGGUUAUUUGUACUCCUCUGCUGGUGUCAUUUCUUUUGAUUUAAUCAUUAUCCCUUACAGGAUGGCACUGGUCUAUUCAGUAUACUGACAGGACCAAGCCAUCAUCCCACCUAAGAAUAUCAAUUAUGCUUUCAAAGCAUACAAUUUGAUUCAUGCAGAAGCUACUGUAUAUGCAUCAUGGUGUUUUCAUAAAGACUCCCUUAUUUACUCUAAACAGUGUUAUGCCUUUUACCAUAAGAUUCUGUAGUAACUGUUUAACCUUUCUAAAUCUUUUCAAGAAAUCUUAAAAGAAAGGAAAGCUUGCCCUCAAGAAUACACUUUCUGUUCUUAUAAAAAUCAGCUCCUCUAUAAAUAGCUGCAGUGAGGCAAAGCUUCAAAGCUUCAGCCUAAAAUGCCAUGAGUACUGUCCUGUAGAGACAGCUUUCAACCAUGUCUGAGUCGGCACAAAAAAGGAACUUCCUGCCAGCUGAAUGUGUGUCUCCCAACUUUCUCUCCUCAUGCAUAUCUAAAAAGGAUACUGAGCUAGAAUCGCUAGUAGUUUUCCUAUUUAAGGCCUGUAUGCAAGUCGUUCCUGCAAUAGAAGCUGGAAACACACACACAGCCCACUCCUUCACUCACUCAUAACCUAGCAGGACCAGCUCCGGGCCCGCUCAGCUCCCUGUGCUGCCUGAUUUCUCAUUUCUCGAAGCACACAGAGGCUAGAAUGAGCCCACCAUCUGCCCCAACCACCAGAAACAAAAACAUGCCUUUUUCUAUCCCUGUGUGUGCAGGCAACGUCUACCCAUGCUGCUCAAACCCUUUGAUCCUACAGACCAAGCCACCACAUCCUCUUCAUAUCCCCUCAUGCACCCAUGAACACAAGCACACACACACACACACACACACACGCACAAACACACAUGCCCACACAAUGCUCACAGUGAUGUCAGGAGUGGUUACCCUUCCUUCCAUAUGCCUAUGUACCCUGUGACAGAGACAGCAACAAGGAAAAACAUUACUUCGCCUCCCCAAACCAAUCCUAAUGUCUUUCUUCAGUGAAAAUGGUUCAUCUGCACUGGGGUCCUCCAUGUAAGAGCCAGAAGUUCUGGCUUCUCCAGAUAUGUGCACAUCGAGAAAUAAUAAGCACAACUGUAUGGUAGUGAAGACAAACAAUUGCAGUACAGUUGAAAACUGCUCUGUGUGGACUGAUUACCCACAGAGUACCAUGCUCUGCCAGGGUCGGUGUGGUAGAGGGCCAUCUCCUCCCGUGCCAUUCUUCUAGGAUCAGCUAUGUCAGCUCUUGUAAAAAAUUCCUCACCAAAAAGAAUCAAAAACAGAAACCAAGAUAGCAUUUGAGAGAAGAUGGAGGAGAUGUUCAUUCCUGUACCCAUCUCUGGAGGGCCACAUGUUUGGAGACUACAGUACAGUUUGCCUCUAUCUGCUUACUAUAAUCCUGAGGAUGGAUUUUGAAGCAUAGUUAAAUGGUGUUGGCCAUUUCCCCUCACUUUACUUAUUCAAAAUAAACAAACAAAUAAAAUGCCUUUCCGAAUGCU